CAGCAGCCGCGGGAAAACGGAGGGUGCAAGCGUUAAUCGGAAUUACUGGGCGUAAAGCGUGCGUAGGCGGUUCGUUAAGUCUGUUGUGAAAGCCCCGGGCUCAACCUGGGAAUGGCAAUGGAUACUGGCGAGCUAGAGUGUGUCAGAGGAUGGUGGAAUUCCCGGUGUAGCGGUGAAGUGCGCAGAGAUCGGGAGGAACAUCAGUGGCGAAGGCGGCCAUCUGGGACAACACUGACGCUGAGGCACGAAAGCGUGGGGAGCAAACAGGAUUAGAUACCCCAGUAGUCCCUGUCUCUUAUAC
rnacentral:rRNA from 1 species